GGGAGCCUGAUGUGGGAUUCGAUCCCGGGUCUCCAGGAUCGUGCCCUGGGCCAAAGGCAGGCGCUAAACCGCUGCGCCACCCAGGGAUCCCAAAAGUGAAGUGUUUUUAAUGCCAAUAAGAGGUUAGCACCUAAGAUCAGAUUCCAGAGAACACAGGUCCCUGACAAAUUUUGCCCAUGGCAAAUGGAGCCGUGCUGCAGCACGGAGGCCUAUGGAGACCAUAAAAUAUGACUGGUUGUGGGGCACCCUUUCACCAGUUAGGUGCUAGUUCCUGAGAGGCCCUCUAAAGGCCAGUGGGCACCUCUUUGGCCCCAUGUGAUGAAAGGAGGGGGAAAAGAUGGCCCUCAAGAGCUUUGUGCUCAAGACUAUUUAAGUGGAUGUUCUAGGUAUGUUAAUGAAAAAGUGUAGUGAAGAGCAGAAUGUGGUACUAUAUUCAUUUAAUUCAACCCAAAAUGAUGGGUCAAAAUUGAAGGAACUGGCAUCAUUCCUCAGACUUGCAAUUAGCAGAGGCUGUGGUGUCCUGACUAGAUUUUGCAGAGUGGUGGCCAUCUUGAAGUAACAGAUUCCUGUUGAGUUGGGGUGUCAAGAGGCCGAGAGGAGUCUCUGGUUUAAGACUUCUGGCUCCUAGAAGAGACUCUAUUUCACUGAGGGGGGGAAGACCAAGAGAUUUUCAGCAUCACAGUGGUCGUUAGAGUCGCUUGGUUAUGAAUGAAGGGUUGCACAAGACAGGAAGACCUAGAGGUGACCAGAUAUCCCAUCAUCAUAGAUGUCAUGAAAAGGCAAAAUACAAGAAACAAGGAAGAGAGGGAGAAAGAGAGAAGAGAAGCACACACUAACUUUCUUGUGUGCAAAGGUGCUAGACCACUUGAUGUGCAGCUAGCAUUGGCAUAGAGAGAACUGAAUUUGUGAAUGGUGUGGCCUCUCCAACUCAGCCUUCCUUUUAGGGAAGGACCUGUCCUACUGGGCCUGGGACCAUGUGGAGGAUGAAGACUUGGAUGAAUUUAGGCACUGGAGGAAGAGGGAUUAUUUAUAAAAGGAAGGUUGUUGAUCUAAGCCAAAAGGAGACAUCAUCUGGCUAAGCUUUGUGGAAGGAAAGACGUGGCUGGUAUGUUGAUGUGACUUGGGUGUGAAAACGCUGUCUUAAGAGAUGAAGGAGUGUGAGUAGCAGUGGGGAUGCUUACGAUUUGACAACUGUAAUCUCACAGGGGGGAGUGGGAGAGUGAUUCUGUAACUAUUAGAAUGAGUUUGGAUUUGUAAUCACAAUGGCUCUAUGAUUUGUCUCUGGCUAUUCACAGAUAAUUGUAAAUUCUGGUUUUAUAAGCCCAAGUCAUUUUACAUUUGCUUUUUCCAAAAUUUAUUAAAUUGGACUUUUUUAAUCAUUUAUAUACAAAAAAACAGAUAUAAUCACUCAGUGUCUGUUUCUCUUCCCCCUCCUAGUCAGCCUACCUCAUCUCUUUGUUUGGCUUUAUUUAAUCAGUAGCUACCCUUUUCUGAUUUCUCUAAGGACAAUCCACUUUUCCUAGAGAAAAAGAAGUUAAGUUCCCUUGGGAGCUGGCCACUUGAUUACUGUUUCCAAAUGCAGAACUCGGUCUUUUCAUGUUAAAAGCCUUAAUCCCAUUUGGGUACUCCAAAGAGAAGUCAAAGUUCAUUCUGGUUCAAUUUUAGUGUUCAAGAAAGAUCAUUUUUUAGCAACAAGAGACUCUCCCCAGCACCCCAUGUUCAACUUCCCAGGAGAUAAGCCCAUAAAAUACUCACUGGAGCAGGCUGAGAACUGUUUGUCUGUGUUAGCCACUCCUUUCUCAUUUCCAGAAAUCUCCUGUCUUGUGAUCAUGGACCUGCAAACCUAGCAAGAACCACUUCUAGAGUCCCUUUGCCAAAAUCCUUGUGAAUUGAGGCCCCAACUUUGGAGGCACGUUUGAUCCCCCAAUUCUUCUGUGAUGGUAUUUUUACUAGCAGGACAGAUGGCACUGAUUACAUUAAGAACUAUUUGAAAGUGCCUCUUAUGGGUUUUUGGUUUUUUUUUCCUGCAUCCUGUACAUAAACUUUGAAGUUUCUGGUCCAGAUAGGUACAACUGUUUCUCUCCACUUUAUUUUCUGCUUGGUUUUGUAAGUGACUCCUGUGUCUCUAGGACAGCAGUAAAUGAGUUAAAUAAGUAGUUGGCUUGGGGCAAAAGAAGGUUGCAACUGUGCUUGAUUUACUAAGCCAGGAGUCCCUUGUUUGUCAAGGUGCCUUCCUCUGCUGAAGCCUUAUCUCCUCACAAGCCCCUCCUCUUGUUACUCCCAGCAACACUAGCUCUUCUCUUGUGUAUAUGCAAAUAAACCUAUUAUUC
rnacentral:lncRNA from 1 species